rnacentral:rRNA from 1 species
AGCAGCCGCGGUAAUUCCAGCUCCAAUAGCGUAUAUUAAAGUUGUUGCAGUUAAAAAGCUCGUAGUUGAAUUUCGGGGUUAGUAGGUCGGUCGUGCCACUGGUAUGUACUGGCUUUACUGAUUCCUCCCUCUUGUAGAACCGUAAUGCCAUUAAUUUGGUGUUGCGGGGAAACAGGACUGUUACUUUGAAAAAAUUAGAGUGUUUAAAGCAGGCUAACGCUUGAAUACAUUAGCAUGGAAUAAUGAAAUAGGACGUCGGUCUUAUUUUGUUGGUUUCUAGGAUUGACGUAAUGAUUAAUAGGGAUAGUUGGGGGCAUUAGUAUUCAAUUGUCAGAGGUGAAAUUCUUGGAUUUAUUGAAGACUAACUACUGCGAAAGCAUUUGCCAAGGAUGUUUUCAUUAAUCAAGAACGAAAGUUAGGGGAUCGAAGACGAUCAGAUACCGUCGUAGUCUUAACCAUAAACUAUGCCGACUAGGGAUCGGAUGAUGUUAAUUUUUUAAUGACUCAUUCGGCGCCUUACGGGAAACCUAAAGUGUUUGGGUUCG